rfam:TPA: Bos taurus chromosome 7, whole genome shotgun sequence.
UCCCAGGUGGCUCAGACGGUAAAGUAUCUGCUUGCAAUGCAGGAGACCUGGGUUUGAGUCCUGGGUCAGGAA